CAUCAUGCUUCGCUCUAUUUUAAAGAGCGUUGACUUGGACCUGCUUGCGGGUGUACUGGUCGUUUUAUAGGUGCUGUUCUGAGGCCGAGUGCCUGUCGCUAGUAUCCACCAGAGCGCUUUUAUCGCUGGUGCAGGUGUGGCACGGCAGCAGAGCGGCUCUCUCAUACCAUAGAGGGUGUCGGCUGGAGGCGUGCCUUAUUCGGCACAGGGUCGGGAUUCAUUGUCAUUCUGGGAGCCUGCGAGUUGCGCAGACAGACCUACUGCCUGCGGGAGCGCGAAGCGAACGCAUGCUAUUGGACCAGCGCUCACACGCUCACCUACUCGUUUCUUCAAACAUCCAAGUCUGACUUUAAUGGGACGGAUCCCGCCUAGCUAACACGAAUUUACGAGGCAAAGUUUGGGUCUCGUUUCCGUGUCAUACGAAAGGCGCUGCACGACGCCUUCCUCCGUUUUCGCGCCCAGUGUCGUACCCUACGAUCUCGGGCUCUUUCUAGGUGAACUCGUUAGCGAGUACUCUAUCGGCUGGAUGCGCAGAAGCGCGCCCUCCCAUUCGACGGAGGAUUUGUGGAACGCGAAUUUUUCCAUGAUAGAACAACUAUUGAAAGCGAAUUCCGGCCUGAAGAUCAAGUCGAGAAACCUGGGUCCGUACACGCUCUCUUUGCGUAAAACGAUGAUGCAAGCUCCGGUGGAAGCGAUCGCUGCAAUGAUAGAAGUUCGAGUACAUGACUCCUUACCCUGCAACCAUGACAGACUGAAGCCUCUUGGAGCAGAUUCCCGAGGAGGGAUCACGCCAUGUUGGAUACCGUUUCGUAAAUGGCCAUAUAGAGAGGUGCAUGUAUGUAUCGGACAGAAUCGAUUCGUUGGCUGGGCAAGAUCGACGAGGCGCCGGCCUGAGCUUGUGACCAGGAAGUCAGGCGGCGGCAUCGAGUAUGUUCGCUCGUCAAUCCAUCCUUGCGAGUUGUUAUGCCCAUGCAUUGUACUGGAAUAGAGAGGUCCGAAUCUUGAAGCUUGUGUGCUUUGAACACGCCAAAAGUAAGCAAAGGAGAAGCGUGGAGGCUUGUAUACCUCAUUUGGUUCACGAUAUCGGUUACUUUAUGAAGGCUUGCUCGAGGCCUUGGCGAAUCAUCUCGAUACCGAUGAUGGAAGGAAUGCCGGCGGCAGAGCGUCGAAGCAGCCACUUGAGAAAAAAACGACCGAGGAUCCUUAACCCAUGUAUGAAUCCGUCAUCCGUUAUCGCUGCACAUCGAUGCUCGAGGCUGGAUAUCUCAAGUCCGGAAAAAUAUUGAAAUUCAGGAACAGAGCAAGCAGUUCAGUGCGGCUCUUGAAUCGAACACAGUUCUCUAUCGAACGACUAGGCGUCGUGGCUGGUGCAGACUUGUGCACACCGGGAUUGGCGUCUGCGAGAAUCGCAGACGCCAUCAGCGGCACUUGUGCGAAAGGUUCCCCAAGGACGCCGCGGUGUGCAGAGAAUCGAACUUUGGUCAUCAAGGCCGGCUAUGUGCUUCAGUAAACGGAUAUGGAAGUGGGA